rnacentral:rRNA from 1 species
GGGGGGGGGGGGGGGGGGGGGGGGGGGGGGGGGGGGGGGGGGGGGGGGGGGGAGCGGGCGCGUGGGGGGGGAGGGAGAGGGGGUUGGCGGGGGGCGGGGGAGUAACACGGGAGGAACGUGCGUUUGACACGGGGAUGGCUCGGGACACCGGGGUGAAUACCCUAUGUCACGGUUCCUUCGCAUGGGUGCCAUGUUAAAACUCCGGGGGUGAAAGAUGGUCUCGCGGCUGAGUAUCUGGUGUGUGGGGUUACGGCCAAUCAAGUCGAUGAUCAGUAACCGGCCUGAGAGGGUGAACGGUCACAUUGGAACUGCGACACGGUCCAAACUCCUACGGGAGGCAGCCGUGGGGAAUAUUGCACAAUGGAGGAAACUCUGAUGCAGCGACGCCGCGUGAGAGAUGAAGGCUUUCGAGUCGUAAAGCUCUGUCCUAUGGGAAGAUAAUGACGGUACCAUAGGAGGAAGCCCCGGCUAACUACGUG